rnacentral:rRNA from 1 species
GUCUCAAAGAUUAAGCCAUGCAUGUGUAAGUAUAAGCAAAUAUACUGUGAAACUGCGAAUGGCUCAUUAAAUCAGUUAUCGUUUAUUUGAUGGUACCUUACUACUUGGAUAACCGUGGUAAUUCUAGAGCUAAUACAUGCUAAAAACUCCGACUUAGCAAGGAGUGUAUUUAUUAGAUAUUUAAACCAACAUUCUUCGGAAUUCUUGGUGAUUCAUAAUAACUUAUCACAGCGCAUAGCUUUAUGCUGGUGCGAGAUCAUUCAAAUACCUGCCCUAUCAAGUUUCGAUGUGAGGGUAGUGUCCUCACAUGCUUUUGACGGGUAACGGGGAAUUAGGGUUCGACUCCGGAGAGGGAGCCUGAGAAACGGCUACCACAUCCAAGGAAGGCAGCAGGCGCGCAAAUUACCCAAUCCCGACACGGGGAGGUAGUGACAAGAAAUACUGAUACAGGGUCCUAUCGGAUCUUGUAAUUGGAAUGAGUACAAUUUAAACCCAUUAACGAGGAACAACUAGAGGGCAAGUCUGGUGCCAGCAGCCGCGGUAAUUCCAGCUCUAGUAGCAUACAUUAAAAUUGUUGCAGUUAAAACGCCCGUAGUUGAAGUUUGGAUUUAAUCGCCCGGUCCGCCUCACUGCGAGAACUGGCUGCGAUCGAGUCUUUCUUCUUGGUAAACUGCAUAUCCUUUAUUGGGUGUGUUAGUGCACCAGGACUUUUACUUUGAAAAAAUUAGAGUGUUCAAAGCAGGCUUUUGCUCGGAUACCUUAGCAUGGAAUAAUAAAAUAUGACGAGUGGUUGUAUUUGUUGGUUUUCACGACUACCGUAAUGAUUGAUAGGGAUGGUCGGGGGCAUCGGUAUUCGAUCGUCAGAGGUGAAAUUCUUGGAUUGAACGAAGACCAACCGCUGCGAAAGCAUUUGCCAUGGAUGUUUUCAUUAAUCAAGGACGAAAGUUAGGUGAGCGAAAACGAUCAGAUACCGUUGUAGUCUUAACUGUAAACGAUGCCGACUAGGGAUCGGGUGGCGUCUUUUUAAUGACCUGCUCGGCACCUUGUGAGAAAUCAGAGUUUUUGGGUUCU